AUUGAACGCUGGCGGCAGGCCUAACACAUGCAAGUCGAGCGAGCGGCGGACGGGUGCGUAAUGUCUGGGAAACUGCCUGAUGGAGGGGGAUAACUACUGGAAACGGUAGCUAAUACAGCAUAACAUCAUAUGUGCACAGAUGGGAUUAGCUAGUAGGUGGGGUAACGCCUCAACUAGGCGACGAUCCCUAGCUGGUCGUAGAGGAUGACCAGCCACACUGGAACUGAGACACGGGCCAGACUCAUCCGGGAUGCAGCAGUGGGGAAUAUUGCACAAUGGGCGCAAGCCUGAUGCAGCCAUGCCGCGUGUGGGAAGAAGGGCUUCGGGUUGUAAAGCACUUUCAGCGGGGAGGCGUUACCCGCAGAAGAAGCACCGGCUAACUCCGUGCCAGCAGCCGCGGUAAUAC
rnacentral:rRNA from 1 species